GCAAGAGCCCACUCCCCGCCACGUGCAGGCGUCGGACCCAAAGUCCACGCGCCGGAACUCAGAGCAGGAGCCGAAGGAGCCCAGCGCAGAAUCCGUGGAGGCGCACGGCUUCAUCCACCGCGCUCCCAGAUGGGGUUCCAGCCCAGAUAGGCCACGAAGACACAGGCGACCCCGGCCUGGGUUUCCUGUUCCAUGAGAUCCAGGAAGGCGACAAUGCGAAGGCUGUAGGGACUUUGGUGAUUGAAGCUGGAGGAGACGAUGAGAAGAAAAUACGGUCCAAACCCGAGCAGGGAGCUGGAGCAGCAGAAGAAAGUCACUUCUGUGCGGGAGCUGCCGACCCCACGAUCAAGGAGAACCAGAAGCGCGGCGGUGGCGACCAGGAGCCCUCGCAGCAGCAGCCUGAGGCUUCCAGCCCAGGGCUCCUCCGCGGAGGAGCCACAACCCCAAUAUUAGCGGCGUCUCUUCAGCCCCAGUGCGUUCAGCAGGUUGCACCUGAAGGAGCUAGACAGCAUUUUCCCACGCUCUGAAUAUCCCGACGUGUUUGCUCGAAAGCAGCUGGCAAUAUGCAUAGAUGUGAGUGAAGCCGAAGUGGAAGCCAGUAAGCCCGAUGAAAGCAAUUGGUCAGAGGAGCCACUCUCUGAAACCUGCCUCAGUCCUUGAAUACGUUUGUCCUACACAUUCUCCAAUUGGCCUG